GGGGGGAGGCGAGCACCGGGGCCGGGCUGGGGAGGCCGGGGCCCGGGCUCAGGAGCCGAGUCGGCUGUGCGCGGCGCGCGGGGCUCCGCUCGGGUCGUCACGUACGUCUUGGACUGCCAGGCGCGAGGAACUCCCGGCCGCAGAGCUCUUUCCCCCCAGAUCCUCUGCAUUUCUGGCCUGUAACCGGGAGAAGGGAGCAGAUGUCUUGGAAAAAUUAAGAUCGCAUCUGCGUCUUUGAGACCAACUCGGUAUAGAGUGUGGAGUUGGGACCUGUGAGCAGUCCUCACCUUCGUACCUGACACCUGUGGGCUGGGAGUGCCUCGUUGCGGCCGCUGCCUGGCCAGCGGGGGCGUGUGUACACCGACAUCACGGUGGAUUUUCGCUUGUCGACUUUGGGGGCUCUCAUUCCUUGGCCUUCCUGGAAACUCUCUUGUCUCGAAGGGAGCGGUUUUUCUUUUCUUCAUCUGACUUUUUAAUUCAUUCAUUCAUUAAACAAAUCUCAUCAGUGUC